GAAUCACUUAAUAUUUGUCCCAGACAUCAAAUACGGCAUAAUAAACCAUUGUCACUGCCCCUCCAUGACCAAAUUAUAUAUUUUGGCAUUUUACAACCAUAAAACUGCAAAUCCGCGCGAGUCCCAAAUUUUUGUAUGCUGUAGACCAUGCCUUCCGCCUUGGGCCCGGAUAGAUCCGUUCUGAAAUCGCCUAAUAUUUGUGCCGGACAUCAAAUACGGCAUAAUAAAACCAUUGUCACCACCCCUCCAUGACCAAAUUACAUUUUUUGGAAAUUUUCAGCCAUAAAAAAGGACAUCCGCGCGAGUCCCAAAUUUUUGUGUGCUAUAGCCCAUGCCUUCCGCCUUGGGCCCGAAUGGAUCCGUCUUGGAAACGCCUAAAAUUUGCCCCAGACAUUAAAUACGGCCUAAGAAACCAUUGUCACCGCCCCGAAAUGACCAAAUUAUUUUUUUGGCAUUUUACAGCCAUAAAACUGCAAAUCCGCGCAAAUCCCAAAUUUUUGUGUGCUAUAGCCCAUGCCUUACGCCUUGGGCCCGGAUGGAUCCGUCCUGGAAUCGCCUAAUAUUUGUCCCGGACAUCAAAUACGGCAUAAUAAACCAUUGUCACCGCCCCUCCAUGACAAAAUUACAUUUUUGGCAUUUUACAACCAUAAAACUACAAAUCCUCGCGAGUCCCAAAUUUUUGUAUGCUAUAGACCA
rnacentral:lncRNA from 1 species